rnacentral:rRNA from 1 species
CACCUUUGUUGCUUUGGCGGGCCCGCCUCGGCCACCGGCUCCGGCUGGUGAGCGCCCGCCAGAGGACCCCAAACUCUGAAAUUUAGUGUCGUCUGAGUACUAUAUAAUAGUUAAAACUUUCAACAACGGAUCUCUUGGUUCUGGCAUCGAUGAAGAACGCAGCGAAAUGCGAUAAGUAAUGUGAAUUGCAGAAUUCAGUGAAUCAUCGAAUCUUUGAACGCACAUUGCGCCCCUUGGUAUUCCGGGGGGCAUGCCUGUUCGAGCGUCAUUACAACCCUCAAGCUCUGCUUGGUAUUGGGCGUCCCCGGCGACGGGGUGCCCUAAAAUCAGUGGCGGUGCCGUCUGGCUCUAAGCGUAGUAAAUCUCUCGCUCUGGAUGCCCGGUGGAUGCUCGCCAGAACCCCCCACUUUUUACAGGUUGACCU